rnacentral:rRNA from 1 species
GAUGAACGCUGGCGGCGUGCCUAAUACAUGCAAGUCGAGCGAACAGACGAGGAGCUUGCUCCUCUGACGUUAGCGGCGGACGGGUGAGUAACACGUGGAUAACCUACCUAUAAGACUGGGAUAACUUCGGGAAACCGGAGCUAAUACCGGAUAAUAUAUUGAACCGCAUGGUUCAAUAGUGAAAGACGGCUUUGCUGUCACUUAUAGAUGGAUCCGCGCCGCAUUAGCUAGUUGGUAAGGUAACGGCUUACCGAGGCAACGAUGCGUAGCCGACCUGAGAGGGUGAUCGGCCACACUGGAACUGAGACACGGUCCAGACUCCUACGGGAGGCAGCAGUAGGGAAUCUUCCGCAAUGGGCGAAAGCCUGACGGAGCAACGCCGCGUGAGUGAUGAAGGUCUUCGGAUCGUAAAACUCUGUUAUUAGGGAAGAACAAAUGUGUAAGUAACUAUGCACGUCUUGACGGUACCUAAUCAGAAAGCCACGGCUAACUACGUG